UACAGAGGGGCAAGCGUUAUUCGGAAUUAUUGGGCGUAAAGGGCGCGUAGGCGGCAUGGCAAGUGGAUGGUGAAAUCCCUCGGCUUAACCGAGGAACUGCCGUCCAAACUGCUUCGCUUGAGACCGGGAGAGGUGAGUGGAAUUCCCAGUGUAGCGGUGAAAUGCGUAGAUAUUGGGAGGAACACCAGUGGCGAAGGCGGCUCACUGGACCGGUACUGACGCUGAUGCGCGAAAGCGUGGGGAGCAAACGGG
rnacentral:rRNA from 1 species